rnacentral:rRNA from 1 species
UACGUAGGGCGCAAGCGUUGUCCGGAAUUAUUGGGCGUAAAGAGCUCGUAGGCGGCUUGUCACGUCGGGUGUGAAAGCCCGGGGCUUAACCCCGGGUCUGCAUUCGAUACAGGCUAGCUAGAGUGUGGUAGGGGAGAUCGGAAUUCCUGGUGUAGCGGUGAAAUGCGCAGAUAUCAGGAGGAACACCGGUGGCGAAGGCGGAUCUCUGGGCCAUUACUGACGCUGAGGAGCGAAAGCGUGGGGAGCAAACGGG